rnacentral:rRNA from 1 species
GCCAGCGACUACACCACGUAGAAACCUGCGGUUUUCGUUACACCAUCGAGGGUGUGCUACGUCGGACCGGGUUAGUACAUGCUGAGGUGACGGAUAAGGAACGCUCGGAGUUGCUGGCC